rnacentral:rRNA from 1 species
GAUGAACGCUGGCGGCGUGCUUAACACAUGCAAGUCGAACGGUGAAGGCGGAGCUUGCUCUGCUGGAUCAGUGGCGAACGGGUGAGUAACACGUGAGCAAUCUGCCCCUGACUCUGGGAUAAGCGCUGGAAACGGCGUCUAAUACUGGAUACGAGCUGCGAAGGCAUCUUCAGCAGCUGGAAAGAACUUCGGUCAGGGAUGAGCUCGCGGCCUAUCAGCUUGUUGGUGAGGUAACGGCUCACCAAGGCGUCGACGGGUAGCCGGCCUGAGAGGGUGACCGGCCAUACUGGGACUGAGACACGGCCCAGACUCCUACGGGAGGCAGCAGUGGGGAAUAUUGCACAAUGGGCGAAAGCCUGAUGCAGCAACGCCGCGUGAGGGACGACGGCCUUCGGGUUGUAAACCUCUUUUAGCAGGGAAGAAGCGAAAGUGACGGUACCUGCAGAAAAAGCGCCGGCUAACUACGUG